UCGUGCUCCUCGGGCGGGAGCUGUGCCCACUCCGCCUCGGGCGCGGGCAGCAGCAGCAGGUGGCGACUCAUCGGGUCUCCUCCGGUCGGUUCGGU
rnacentral:tRNA from 1 species